UGGGGCCUACGGCGCAUGCGCCGGCUGCCGAGUUUGUUUGGUACUGCGGGCCAGGCCACGUGGUUUGAGGGAGGGAUGCAGCCCCGCCUUUUUACGUGCCUGCUGGCGGCGCGUGAAUGUGCUCUCGGCUGCUGACCAGCUGUAUGUCUUGGUGCCAGCGCUUCAGUCCUGGUGAAAAAUACGUGUCUAGUAAGGCGGUUAUAAGAAUUAAAAGACAUGUUCCAGAAAGAGAGAAAGAGAGGGUCAUUUCGGUAAUCUCCAGCAAACACCUUGCUCUCCAAAGCUGAUAUAGAAAGAAGAGGACAGAUAUGGAUGAGCAAGUCCUGCUCAAACUUUAGAAGGAAGAAGAUUGCUGUGUGGAGAUCAGGCAGAAGAGGGUUCUCGAAAGGAAGCAGUAAGUACCUUACAAAUAGGGUAAGGGAAGCACAAACUUGGCAAAUUUAAAGACUAGAAAUUGGGCCACUGUGGCUGAAGCCAGGAUAGGCUAGAGCUCUGUAAACUAGACAUGGAAUGUAGAUUUUACUCUAAGUGCAAAUGAAAUUCUUUGGAGGGUUUUAAAUAAGGAAGUGAUAUAAUGGAACUUACAUUUUAAAAAUAUUAUUUUGGCAUAAGGAUAGUCAUGGAUCAAUGGAAUAGAAUUGAGAGUCCAGAAAUAAACCCACACAUCUAUGGUCAAUUGAUUUUCAACACCAGUGCCAAGACCAUUCACUGGGGAAGGAAUAGUCUCUUCAACAAAUGGUGCUGGGAAACUAGAUAUUCACAGGCAAAAGAAUGAAGUUGGAAUCUGCUUCACAACAUAUACAAAAAUUAACCCAAAAUAGAUCAAAGACCUAAGUGUAAGUGCUAAAAUUAUAAAACUCUUAGAAGAAAACUUAGGGGUGAAUCUUUUGUUUGUUUGUUUUGUUUUGUUUUUGUGAGGAAGAUCAACCCUGUGCUAACAUCUGCCAAUCCUCCUCUUUUUGCUGAGGAAGACUGGCCCUGGGCUAACAUCCAUGCCCAUCUUCCCCCACUUUAUAUGGGACGCCGCCACAGCAUGGCUCGACAAGCGGUUGGUGCGCUCCCGGGAUCCAAACUGG